rnacentral:rRNA from 1 species
GUCUAUGGCCAUGACACCCUGAACAAGCCCGAUGUCUGAUCUCAGAAGCUAAGCAGGGUCGGGUCUGGUUAGUACUUGGAUGGGAGACCACCUAGUAAGACCAGGUGAUGUAGGCA